GACGAACGCUGGCGGCGUGCUUAACACAUGCAAGUCGAACGGAAAGGCGCUGCUUUUGUGGGGUGCUCGAGUGGCGAACGGGUGAGUAACACGUGAGUAACCUGCCCUUGACAUUGGGAUAACUUCAGGAAACUGGGGCUAAUACCGGAGAGGAGCUCCUGCUGCAUGGGGGGGGUUGGAAAGUGUCGGCGGUAGGGGAUGGAUUGGCGGCUUAUCAGCUGGUUGGUGGGGUAGUGGCUUACCAAGGGUUUGACGGGUAGCCGGCCUGAGAGGGUGACCGGCGACCAUACUCCUGCGGGACGGAGCAGUAUGCAACGGGCGGCAGCGGUCGGGAAUAUUGCGCAGUGGGCGCAAGCCUGAUGUAGCAACCUUGGGUGCGGGAUGCCGGCCUACAGGUUAUAAACCGCUUUGGACUGAGCUGUAGCGUGAGUGACGGUACUAGGUAAGGAAGCACCGGCUAACUACGUG
rnacentral:rRNA from 1 species